AUUGAACGCUGGCGGCAGGCCUAACACAUGCAAGUCGAGCGGAUGAAGGGAGCUUGCUCCUGGAUUCAGCGGCGGACGGGUGAGUAAUGCCUAGGAAUCUGCCUGGUAGUGGGGGAUAACGUCCGGAAACGGGCGCUAAUACCGCAUACGUCCUGAGGGAGAAAGUGGGGGAUCUUCGGACCUCACGCUAUCAGAUGAGCCUAGGUUGGAUUAGCUAGUUGGUGGGGUAAAGGCCUACCAAGGCGACGAUCCGUAACUGGUCUGAGAGGAUGAUCAGUCAGAAGUGGACGAAGAUGAGAGCUGGCACACUACGGGAGGCAGCAGUGGGGAAUAUGGGAACAUGGGCUUAGGCCGUAAACAACCAUGCGGUGGGGGGGAAGAGGAGAUUCUGAUUGUAAAGCUCUUUAAGUUGAGAGGAAAGACAGUAAGUGAAUAACUUGCUGUCUUGACGUUACGAUAAGAAAAAGCACCGACUAACUUCAUG
rnacentral:rRNA from 1 species